CCCUUAGAUGUUCUGGGCCGCACGCGCGCUACACUGACGAUGGCAACGAGUUUUUCCUUCGCCGAAAGGUGUGGGUAAUCUUUUGAAACAUCGUCGUGCUGGGGAUAGAUCAUUGCAAUUUUUGAUCUUGAACGAGGAAUUCCUAGUAAGCGCGAGUCAUCAGCUCGCGUUGAUUACGUCCCUGCCCUUUGUACACACCGCCCGUCGCUACUACCGAUUGAAUGGUUUAGUGAGGACUCCUGAUUGGCGCCGCCGCCCCGGCAACGGAGCAGCGGACUGCCGAAAAGUUUUUCAAACUUGAUCAUUUAGAGGAAGUAAAAGUCGUAACA
rnacentral:rRNA from 1 species